CAUGGAAAGAUAGACUCUGGGUCCUGGAGAGAAGCAGCUUUGACAUCUAUCAGCUAUGUAAACUUGUAAGGUCUCUGUCCCCAUGGAGCUCAUGUUUUCAUGACACCGAUGACAGAUAGGAGUCCCAGGACCAGGGCACACCAACGAGGAGAUACAGUGGAGCAGUGUGGCCAUCCCCGCUAUGUGGGUCACGCCUGGACCUUCUAUCUUUCCCAGGAACUUUUCUCCCACCCAAGCUCUUGACAAUGAGAAAAUUUUGUUGCUCCUUCUGCAGGCCUGGUUGCUAGAGUUUUCCCAGCCUUCUGUUUUCCUGACUGGUUCUCCCUUUAAGUCUCUAAGCCUUAAAAGGAUAAGUUUAGAGGGAUAAGUUCCUGCUUUCCUGCCUCAAACAGCCUAGGGCUGCCUCCUAUCUUUAAACGGGCCUUAGAACUCUAGGCUCCAGGACUUAAAUGGCCUUUAUCUAGUCAAAACCCCAUGAAAAGGCUCAGUUCUCCCUCCUCAGGCUGGCUUUGAGUUCUCACACUAUCUGGAAUUCCUUUCUUCUUUUUGAAAUCAGCUGUGUAUUUCCAAGUGUUUCACUUAUAUUUUAUGGAGCUAUUUUACAUGAUAGCAAGAGGAGGGUACCUGAAACCCUUCAAUCUGGCAUGAGGCCAGAAAUGUUCUAACACAUUGAUCUGUGUGUUAUCUAUGCACUAUCAGUCUGUCUCCCAGCUAGAUGGUAAACUCCAUGAGGCAAGGAUUGUGUUAGACUGGCUCUCAAAAAAAGACUGAGCAUACGGUGGGAGUUCA